rnacentral:rRNA from 1 species
UACGUAGGGUGCAAGCGUUGUCCGGAAUUAUUGGGCGUAAAGAGCUCGUAGGCGGUUUGUCGCGUCUGCUGUGAAAUCCCGAGGCUCAACCUCGGGCCUGCAGUGGGUACGGGCAGACUGGAGUGCGGUAGGGGAGAAUGGAAUUCCUGGUGUAGCGGUGGAAUGCGCAGAUAUCAGGAGGAACACCGGUGGCGAAGGCGGGUCUCUGGGCCGAAACUGACGCUGAGGAGCGAAAGCGUGGGGAGCAAACAGG